AUGUCAACGAUGAAGAGAAGAGUAGACUGAAUCAUUCCUUUAAGAGAGAAGGUAUCAUUGGCUGCGAGUACCUUUAAGGAAUCUCAGUCGAAGACCACCUCGGAGUUGAAACGGUGAUUACGUUAUAGUCACAAUGAGUAACAAUUAGGGUGGAACCACGGGAGACAACUCUCGUCCCUUGC
rnacentral:ncRNA from 1 species